AGGACUAACGCUGGCGGCGUGCCUAACACAUGCAAGUCGAACGGGGUAGCAAUACCCAGUGGCAGACGGGUGAGUAACACGUGGUCAACCUACCUCUGUGUGGGGGAUAACUAGCCGAAAGGUUAGCUAAUACCGCAUACGAUCGUUUUGAGGCAUCUCGAGACGAUGAAAGGAGCAAUCCGCACGGAGAGGGGACUGCGUCCCAUUAGUUAGUUGGUGGGGUAACGGCCUACCAAGACUCCGAUGGGUAGCUGGCUUGAGAGAGCGACCAGCCACACUGGAACUGAGAAACGGUCCAGACUCCUACGGGAGGCAGCAGUGAGGAAUCUUGCGCAAUGGGCGAAAGCCUGACGCAGCAACGCCGCGUGGAGGACGAAGGCUUUCUGAGUUGUAAACUCUUUUCAGCAGGGACGAUAGUGACGGUACCUGCAGAAGAAGCACCGGCCAACUACGUGCCAGCAGCCGC
rnacentral:rRNA from 1 species